CCUACGGGUGGCUGCAGUGGGGAAUCUUGCGCAAUGGGCGAAAGCCUGACGCAGCGACGCCGCGUGAGCGAUGAAGGCCUUCGGGUUGUAAAGCUCUGUGGGGAGAGAAGAAUAAGGUCCGGCCAAUACCCGGACCGAUGACGGUAUCUCCUUAGCAAGCACCGGCUAACUCUGUGCCAGCAGCCGCGGUAAUACAGAGGGUGCAAACGUUGUUCGGAUUUACUGGGCGUAAAGCGCGUGUAGGCGGCUUGGUAAGUCGGGUGUGAAAGCCCACG
rnacentral:rRNA from 1 species